GCGUGAGUGAUGAAGGCCUUAGGGUUGUAAAGCUCUUUCAGCGGGGAAGAUGAUGACGGUACCCGCAGAAGAAGCCCCGGCUAACUCCGUGCCAGCAGCCGCGGUAAUACGGAGGGGGCAAGCGUUGUUCGGAAUUACUGGGCGUAAAGCGCGCGUAGGCGGUCUGUUUAGUCAGGCGUGAAAUCCCUGGGCUUAACCCAGGAACUGCGUUUGAUACUGGCAGACUAGAGUUCGGGAGAGGAGAGUGGAAUUCCCAGUGUAGAGGUGAAAUUCGU
rnacentral:rRNA from 1 species